rnacentral:rRNA from 1 species
AGGCCUUCGGGUCGUAAAGYUCUGUUGUUAGRGAAGAACAAGUACCAGAGUAACUGCUSGUACCUUGACGGUACCUAACCAGAAAGCCACGGCUAACUACGUGCCAGCAGCCGCGGUAAUACGUAGGUGGCAAGCGUUGUCCGGAAUUAUUGGGCGUAAAGCGCGCGCAGGCGGUUCCUUAAGUCUGAUGUGAAAGCCCACGGCUCAACCGUGGAGGGUCAUUGGAAACUGGGRAACUUGAGUGCAGAAGAGGAAAGYGGAAUUCCACGUGUAGCGGUGAAAUGCGUAGAGAUGUGGAGGAACACCAGUGGCGAAGGCGRCUUUCUGGUCUGUAACUGACRCUGAGGCGCGAAAGCGUGGGGAGCAAACAGGAUUAGAUACCCUGGUAGUCCACGCCGUAAACGAUGAGUGCUAAGUGUURGAGGGUUUCCGCCCUUYAGUGCUGCAGCUAACGCAUUAAGCACUCCGCCUGGGGAGUACGGUCGCAAGACUGAAACUCAAAGGAAUUGACGGGGGCCCGCACAAGCGGUGGAGCAUGUGGUUUAAUUCGAAGCRACGCGAAGAACCUUACCAGSUCUUGACAUCCUCUGACAACCCUAGAGAUAGGGYGUUCCCCUUCGGGGGACAGAGUGACAGGUGGUGCAUGGUUGUCGUCAGCUCGUGUCGUGAGAUGUUGGGUUAAGUCCCGCAACGAGCGCAACCCUUGAUCUUAGUUGCCAK